UACCAGCACCCCGAGUGGUCGGGACGAUUAUUGGGCCUAAAGCAUCCGUAGCCGGUCCUGCAAGUCUUCCGUUAAAUCCAGCUGCUCAACAGAUGGGCUGCGGAGGAUACUACAGGGCUAGGAGGCGGGAGAGGCAAGGCGGUACUUUAUGGGUAGGGGUAAAAUCCGUUGAUCAUAGAAGACCACCAGUGGCGAAGGCGGCUUGCCG
rnacentral:rRNA from 1 species